UUUGAUGACUUCAAUGCAAAACAUUAAACUCAGAGAUUGGAUGCACCAAAGAAGAAAAGAGACUAUACACAUAUUUUGUAGUUUUAGAGGGGGAUGGCAAAAAGGUAUGAAGCAUGUGUGUAUACGGAAGCUCAAUUACCAAUCCUUUCUGGACUUCGUAUAAAGUAUAUAAUAGUCCGGAUGAAUUACUUUUCCUGAUCUAAAUUUUUUCUCUUGGGGAGAUGACUCAUGAGGUACAAAAUCAAAAUGAUGAUAGAAAUUCAAGGCGUUUAAAUUGGCGCUAAAUACUGUCAGGAAAAUAUAUUUUAGGUUUCGUCGAUAUGCAAGUAUACUUGCAUUUUUUAAUAACCAUUUCCCAACGUUCCUCCCUCGUAUAUGCUCAUCUAGCUGUAUCUCAUAUAUGUAUAAACAAGUCAGACCUGCUUCCACAGUGUCUUCAAAACUCAGAAAUCCUACCAAUUUUUUCGAGGUUUUUUCAAAAAUACAAAUAUACUCUAAUUUUUCCAUCUCCAUUUCCUUCAAUUUCUCUGAAUCAUCCCAUCCGAAGGAGCUUUGUCGAUAUAGUGCUUCCAUGUUCUUUUUUACCAAAUUGAAACAUUGCUGAAGAAGUCCUUUUUCUAGAUGAUGAUAUAUCUCCACCCAAACCCCUAAGUUUUUUAAAAAAUCAACGUCUUCGAGUGUAACAUUCUUGAUUUCCUGGGUCUUCAUACGUCUGGGUGAGUAAAAGAGGUAUUGCUUCAAAAAAUGCAUAAUGUUGUUAAGGUAUCAAUAUCACAUUACACUUUUAAAAACCAAAGAUUGAAUAAGGGUUUAAUACAUAUCGAGCAAAAUGCUAUCAUUUUUAUUAUUGUUGCUACAGCAAGCCUACUUAGUAAUACACGAUAACAAAAAAUGAAUAUUCUUAAUCAUCUAAUAAUUCCUAUU